rnacentral:rRNA from 1 species
CUUUGAUCAUGGCUCAGGAUGAACGCUGGCGGCGUGCCUAAUACAUGCAAGUCGAACGAAACUUCUUUAUCACCGAGUGCUUGCACUCACCGAUAAAGAGUUGAGUGGCGAACGGGUGAGUAACACGUGGGCAACCUGCCCGAAAGAGGGGGAUAACACUUGGAAACAGGUGCUAAUACCGCAUAACCAUGAAUACCGCAUGGUAUUUAUGUGAAAGGUGGCUUCGGCUACCGCUUUCGGAUGGGCCCGCGGCGCAUUAGCUAGUUGGUGGGGUAAAGGCUUACCAAGGCAAUGAUGCGUAGCCGAACUGAGAGGUUGAUCGGCCACAUUGGGACUGAGACACGGCCCAAACUCCUACGGGAGGCAGCAGUAGGGAAUCUUCCACAAUGGGCGAAAGCCUGAUGGAGCAACGCCGCGUGGGUGAAGAAGGUCUUCGGAUCGUAAAACCCUGUUGUCAGAGAAGAAAGUGCAUGAGAGUAACUGUUCAUGUUUCGACGGUAUCUGGCCAGAAAGCCACGGCUAACUACGUGCCAGCAGCCGCGGUAAUACGUAGGUGGCAAGCGUUAUCCGGAUUUAUUGGGCGUAAAGGGAACGCAGGCGGUCUUUUAAGUCUGAUGUGAAAGCCUUCGGCUUAACCGGAGUAGUGCAUUGGAAACUGGGAGACUUGAGUGCAGAAGAGGAGAGUGGAACUCCAUGUGUAGCGGUGAAAUGCGUAGAUAUAUGGAAGAACACCAGUGGCGAAAGCGGCCCUCUGGUCUGUAACUGACGCUGAGGUUCGAAAGCGUGGGUAGCAAACAGGAUUAGAUACCCUGGUAGUCCACGCCGUAAACGAUGAAUGCUAAGUGUUGGAGGGUUUCCGCCCUUCAGUGCUGCAGUUAACACAAUAAGCAUUCCGCCUGGGGAGUACGACCGCAAGGUUGCAACUCGAAGGAAUUGAC